UGCAUUCACUACUGCAAGUCGCUCUGGAUAAGAGCGUCUGCUAAAAUGACUAAAA
rfam:Salmo salar isolate Sally breed double haploid chromosome ssa01, whole genome shotgun sequence.